UACGAAGGGGGCUAGCGUUGUUCGGAAUUGCUGGGCGUAAAGCGCACGUAGGCGGGUUUGUAAGUAGGGGGUGAAAUCCCAGGGCUCAACCCUGGAACUGCCUUCUAGACUGCAAGCCUGGAGGUCAGGAGAGGCGAGUGGAAUACCGAGUGUAGAGGUGAAAUUCGUAGAUAUUCGGAAGAACACCAGUGGCGAAGGCGACUCACUGGACACAUAUUGACGCUGAGGUGCGAAAGCGUGGGGAGCAAACAGG
rnacentral:rRNA from 1 species